rnacentral:tRNA from 1 species
GCGCAGGUGGCGUAACUGGUAGCCGCGUACCCUUGAGGGGGGUAUGUUCUCACGGACGUGGAGGUUCGAGUCCUCUUCUGCGCACAA